ensembl:lncRNA
UACCAGAUUUCAAUGAUUUUAGAAAAUUGUAAAUGGGUCCUACAUUACAUUACAUGUCAUUCAGCUGAUUCUUUUAUCCAAAGUGACUGAAUAAGUGCUAGUCUUGCGACCACUCAAAGCGCUUUAACACUUCAUGUCAUCAUUCACCCAUUCACGCCCCCUGAUGACAGGAGCUACCUUACACAGUGCCACCUGCCCAUCAGUAACUAACAUUCACAUAGUAGCAAUGUUUGGGUUAAGUGUCUUGCUGUAGGACACAUCGAAAUGCGGGUCAGCAGGACCUGCGAUCAACUCGCCAAUCAUCUGUUUGGAGGACAACUGUGCUCGACACUCGCCAACUGUCGCUCAACUAAAAAGAAAAAGAAAAACAAGUGCCUUGUGAUGAAUUGCCGGUAGGCAAAUAUUAAAUGCAGGAGUGUUAUUGAUAUGAAUGUUCCAGUUAACUGUUUAGCCUGUACAUGUACAUAUCAGCAACAAGCAGAUGUCUCACACAUUCAUAUGGAGGAACCAUAAUUUACCAAUUGGUUUCCAGACUGAGUGUUCUAAGCAGGCACCGUUGCCUUUGCCGUGGCCUUUACCAUCUUGUAUUUUUGCAACAAGAAAUAAUUUGAGAUGGUCUAAACAAAAGCUGAAUAAGCAAUUUUAUAGCCCCUCAAAAUGUUAUAAUCGACUUUCAUUAAUCAAAAACACACUGUAGAGGGGCUAAAGUUGUAAGACAAAAACUCUGAAAAACCGCAGACCAUACAAUGCUGUAGUAGUAACCUGUCAAUCACACGCUAGCAUACCCUGAUUUAUGGUGUAAAUAUACCAUCAUUUACUAAAUUAACAUCUAACAGAUCAGUUUAAGAUCACAAACUCAGGUAAACAAUUUGGUGAGAAGGUCUUUCUACAUGUGUAGAAUACAUUCUUAACACAUUGCUUAGGUUUCACUUUUCAGACAAUAAGGUUGCUUCCUAAGAUCCAUAAUAAUCAUUUUGAGUUGUGUUUUUGGCUACCUGAUGAAUAUAAAUGCAAUAUUCACUCCCUAUUAUGCUCAGCUUUAUUCUCCACCUAACCCCCAAAGGAAAUUAUUUUUUAGCUGCAACAUAUCCACUUUGUUUAGCAGAACAAUACUUAGAAUUUCCUUAACAGCACUGGUGCAACUAAGGCAACAGUUUAAAUUGUAAUUGUUAUUCUUUUAAAUAUUGCAGAUUGCGCAUUAGCCCAUCAUUAACAAAAAUGUUUCUGCAAUUUAGCAAAUGAGCCGAACAGGAGAAUAUUACCCUGCAUGUCCCUGUUGGUGGUUUAAUUAUUGAUUUAAUCUCUAAUUACACAAUUAACAGGCAAAUGGAGCUGGGUAUUUCAGCCGCACAGGGAGGAGUGCUCUGAAAUCCAUAAUUGAGAUCUGUUGGUCAGGGGCCGCUCAUUAAUUUACCCCUGCUGAUCAGCGCUGAACAUUCAAUAAAGGGCUAUAACAUUGACAUGCGCAAAAGCAAAGUGUAAAUAAUGGCGCCAACAGCCUCUCUGGAGGAGCUGUUUUCAGCUGCAACCACGGAGUGAUGUGUACAAACACACUUCUACAAACCUCCCGUCCCUCCGCAAAAACGGCAAACAAUUAGAGGAGACGGCUUGCGCCCAACAAAGCUUUUAAAUACUGAGGAAUUAAGCGGGGAAUGAUGCGUCUGUGCCAGCAGUGAGACGCAGUAACCACUGAGCCUGGGGGCUUUGGCUGGAUAAACAGCGUCCAUCUUUACCAAAGGACGUUGUGGCAUCUACUAGGACAAUAGUGGUGAGGGAGACAAAUAAACUCAAUAUACUGGACGCUUGUGACUUCCAAUUUUUUGACUUGUCACAUUACAUGAGGGAAUAGUGGGACAGAAUAACUAGACGGGUGUAUUUUAAGUUAGUUUAAUGUUUCUCUCAGGAGCUGGCCCAAUAACACGGCAGCAAUCCAGUAAACUGCCAUCCAAUCAACCAGAAGAGUAAACACAGUGAUUAUGAAAAGACAUCAGCAGGGAGACAUCCUGCACCUUGGUCUGAGUAAACUUUUCUACUUUUCAACCACUUGCCCUCUUUCUUUGUGGUCCUCUUUUUAUAUCACCGGGGGGUUUAACACAAUUUGAAAAAGAAAACAUUUCCUGCCAGCGAUCUUGAAGACAAGCCACCUCGUGUUUGAAUACUGUUUAAUAGUCUGCUGAUAAUGUUUCUGUUCCGUUGCUAGGUCAACAGCAAUUGCUGCAAGGGGCUUAAAAACAAAGACGUUAGGAAACAUAAAUCACAAAUAAGAUACUUGAGUUUCCAGAUGUUUUCCAUAAUGGAGGCUGUAAUUUAUAUUCAGACAUUCUGUGAUUAACCGGCUGACAUGGGAGGGCAGAGGUCAGACUGUUUAGUUCCCUCAUCAUUAUUAGUUAUUGCAGUUCAAGACAGUUUAAAACAUUUAAAUUAUGUAAAGGGGUGCGGCUACACCCUGUAACAACACUGAGCCUGUAGGGAUUUGUGGAUUCACUGUUCGACCCCCUCAUCCUUACUGACUGAACACACUAGAAGCUUUCCUAAGAGGCAGUACCAAGGGUGUAACCAUGUUUUAGACAUUGGGGGGACGUCAUAGAGGCUUUUCGUGUGGCUUUGCUUCGUCAGCCGCUAGUCAGCCUGGUGCCCACCAUGCUGCCCCGCUGAGCGGAGCAAGCGGACACUCAAAGUCCCGCUGCCGGAAUGAAACAUAUUUUACAUAUUUUUUGCUGUAUAUUGGGGGUGGGGGGGCAGAUUGGUAUUUUCUCAAUAUUGAGGGGGACACAAGCCCCCCCAAAGAAUGCGUGGUUACGCCGUUGGGCAGUACUAUAUUUCUUUUGCGUCAUACCUACAGUAUCAUUCACGCAGUUUUUCACACCUCCAGUCACCUUUAAGGGCCCCAAAAGGCACUUUAAAUCGGAAGAUAUAUUUAAAUUGGUUGAAAAAAUGUUGAUUUUCUUUCUCUGAACGUUCCUGCUUAAGAAUGUCCUAAGUAAUCCUGCAAAACCAGAGCAUGCUCUACAUUUCUAGGCAGUCAAUUUCGUGCUAAGCUUUAGAGCCCAUUUGAGUUGAAAAGACACACAUACAGCCAGCAGCUAGUUAGGUUAGCGCAGCUGAGAAGAUGGAAAAGAAAACCUGCUUGUGUGUAGCGACUCAAAAAGUAGAUUUGAAAAUACUUUAGUUUGACUUUCACCAUAGACACGGCCUAAUUGCGGUAGUCAAACCCCAAACUGACUACUGACAGCUGGGAAGCUAACUAUCAACUUGCUAGCCAGCGCAACACUGCUUGUCAAUCAUAAUAGGUUUCCCUUUCCAUUUCUUCUGAACCAACAUUUUGUUCAGCAUUGGGCACAAUUACAUUAAAUAAGACAAUAUUGAUGUUGGAAAAUAAAGCUCUUUGAGCUGAUAAGCCAAUGGACAUUUAGCAAACUUGCUAUGUUUGCUUGGUCGCUAAUUAGAAAACGCAUUGAGCGUGACAGUCACUGAUUUUGGUCUCUAGUAACGCAUUACAGUGGACUAAUUUUCUGUUGACAUGAACCAGCCAGUGUGAAUUUGGUGAAUGAAUGUGCUUUGAGAGCUUGGGUGUGAACCUUGUGAAACACCUUCCUGCAACCAGAGACCAGGUUCUUUAAAUAUGUAGGCCUAUGCUAAUUCUAGGUUCUUUUUCUGGGGUCAGUGUAGGGAUCCUUUUCACAGUCGUUAACUGAGGUGUAACUGGAAUCAAGUGUGUGACGAUCUGGUUACCCUGACAUUUCUAGAGAGUGCAGCAGGCCUUGUGGAGGGUUGACACUGGAACGUUGGCCUAGAAUUCAAAUAUAGAUCUCAAGCUCUCUGCAGCAGCUUGUCUUUUACAGAAGCAAGCUAACAAUAAUUCAUACUUGGAGUAAAAGAUUUGCCAAAUUCUCAUUUUUCCCAUACAUUGCUGUAUUCCCAUGAAUAAGUUAACAACCUUUCCUAGUCAGAAUUCGGCCGCUGUCAUCACAGUAGAAGUGUGAAUAAGAGAGUCAUUCUUCAUUGCGCCAGACACAUCUUAGUGGGAGUUCACACUCCGUGUCUGGGGUCUGGAAAAUUGCACUGCAAAACAGCUCUCCAGACAAGGGAAUACCUGUCAACUCCUGGAAUGUUUCUGUGAAAAUAAACAAUGCUCAGCCUGCUCACUGUGUAUCCCCAUCAUUCCCCUCAUAACGCUCCGCUGUAACCUUACGACCUUGAUGAAACAGUCGUGAAUUGAGAAAGGAAGUAAACCACAGUAAUGUGUCCUAAAGGUUAGAGGCAUGCCCAUCAUUUGUUUGUCAACUCAUUUCUGUGUGCACAUUAAGACCAGUAAAGACAGAAGUCACAAAUAUUUGUGUGUUCCUCUUGCCAAAGUUGUCGUUUGAUUUGAUUGGUAAGUCCAAUUCAAUUAAAACUAAGCACAUGAUGAUGUUAUACAAGAAGUCCAAUUAAUUAGAUGAAAAAAGGAAAAUUUAAGGUCAAGAAUUUGUCUUGUUUGAAAAAAGUACCUUUAAUAGUUUUUAGGCACAACAACAUUGUGUAAUGUAUGUUUAGUAAAUUAAUACGUUUAAUUAUCAGCCUUAAUAUUAUAGUGAAAAAAACUUUUUUUUAAUCAGAAUACCACACAAGGGCUAAAGCAUCCACGAGUCAAAUCAAUCCUCUACAUUGCUCUGCUUUAAACAGCCAACUGCGCUUUAACUGAUUCUAGUGUCAUGGGUCGUAUGCGUAACACGGGACGCUAGCAGGGAAUAGUGUGUCCUUUAAAGGGUAGAAUUACUUAUAAUAUUGUGUAUUGUACCUUGCAAUUGAUACAUAUCAUUUUCUAAUGGCUAACUGAUGUAUUGUCACCUGACGAAGCCACCACAUUUGACUCAUCCUUUACUCCAUGGCAACACAACAGUCUCUGGAGGAGUUUGAAAAGAUUCUGCAUCAUGCCAAAUCCGGAUAACUUUUCGAGUAUGCUGGAUCCAAUAAGAUGGUAAGAGGGCAGUGGUCUGAGUUGGCAAUGGCGUUCUCUGGUUUCGUUGCCUUGGACGAGAUACAGAAGCACUGCGACCAUCAACUUAUUAGGAGCCGGCUGUCAUCGGGGGAAUUUGCAGAGUGAGUUUGUUUUUGGAUCCUGGGUGUGGGACGACAAGCAGCCAGGUUGUCUUUCUGGACUUACUGAUUCAACUGCCUAACAAGACCGGGGGAAUUACAUCUUGGCUACCUGGCACUAACUGCUAAAGACACACGAUCAGUCAGGGACCCCAGUAGUUCUGUAAUGAGACAACCAGCCAAGAAGUUCUUAAUAAACCACAGGUCAAUAUCUUGCUCCAACUAAAACUUCUCUCACUGGAUGCUGUCAUACAACUUGUGAAUUUAGAAUAGAACGCUUCUGAAACAUAGACAGAUUGAGACAGUAUGUGAGCAGCGCAGUACUGUACAGUACAGUAUUUUACAGAUCAGAAAUCUCCAUAUCCUCAUAGUAUUUAGCUACAAAUGGUAACAAUGGUAAGCAAAACAUUAACCUCUCACAGCCGCCUAACCCCCUGUACCUAUAGUUUGUAUAAAUGUUGAAAAAUUGAUAAAUGUAUCAGGUCAUAAAACUGUUAAUACUAUUCCAUGUAUUCUGGUCAGGUCAUGCUUAAUGUUAUAUUUAAGUUAGGCUUUUUACAAAGAAGACAUCUUGAAAUGUUGCUGUAGCAGCAACAUAGUCAAAUAGACGAAAACAAGAACGGUGGCAGAAUUCCAUUUAACUACUUCAACUUACACAGUCCUGGCACUGUACAUGCUGGUUCACAUUCAUGACUUACUGGGACCAUCUAAUGUUAGUAGUAUUAGUUCUAUACGAACUCAUUUGCACCAAUGAUGGAUAAAAAGCCUAGGAGUUUGCAGCCACAGUAGCAACCCUAACACGUCCCAUUGCGCAUAAUAAGUAUGCAAUGAAAUGCUUGUAGGGGAAAUGUUGACCUUGUUGGCCAUCUUUGUUCAGCGUGUUUGCAUGCUAAUAAUGGCUUAUUUGCGCUAACCACAAAAUACAUCUGUGACUGACAGUGGAGUGUCAGUUUUGCGUGAUUUGUGUUUAGACGUUUCUACCAUUCAUCCUCAAAUUUUAUGGAUAUCCAGCCAAAUAGUUACGUUUCACUCAAAACCUAAACUGCCAACCUCAUUCCAUUAUUAUAUAUAGAUAUAUAUAAUUUAUUAAAUCAACUAAAAUGAUGGCAUUUCAGGAAAAGUGUUUGAAGUUUGAAGUUAUUAAAGAUACUCACUACUGCCUACAGUAAAUGGGAUGUGGUAAUGUUCAAUUUUAAAGUGAUAAGCUAACUCAGAUGAAAUGACAACACAUAUUUUGCCUUUGUAUGCCUAAUAUGCUUACGUGAAUGUGCUGAUAUUUGUUUUGUAUUCCAAUGCAUCGUGCAAAAUUCAUUCUUUUGACUCAACGCUAGUAUGAGAUGUUGUUUAUUUGGGUAGUAAAAGGGCAGUGAGAGCUGGAUCUGCAGCACGUAUGCUGUUCUGCAGCUGAUCCUCAGCUUUGCAGUUCAAAUACACAAAGCCAAAACCAAAUAUUGCUCUUUGAGAUACACCAGGCACUUGAUUAUUUUCCUUUCAAAAAAAGUUUUGUUAUUUUCAUGGCGUCCGCCCACUUGGUCCCACAUAAUUGUUUCCCCUUAUAGUAUGUGAAUACCAGACUUCACAUAGAAGCCUAACAGUGAAGCCAGUAAACGUCACAAAAGGUUUUUAAAUUGAUGUUUUUUGGAUAAUGUGAACCUACAAUGAAGGGUUGCCUUACACCCCCAAACUGUUACAUUAUUGGACGACAGCUUCCCGUACCUUAUUGCUUAAUUAAUCAUUUUUUUCUGCCAAAAAGUCUACUUUUAUGAAAGCUAGGACAUUGUUACUGUCAAGUGUUCAAGUAAAUGGUAAAUGGCCUGUACUUGUAUAGCGCUUUUCUAGUCUUCUGACCACUGAAAGCGCUCUAACACUACAUGACAUCAUUCACCCAUUCACACCCAUUCAUACACUGAUGACUGGAGAACCAUACACAGUGACACCUGCCCAUCAGUAACUAACAUCCACACACUGUAGUCGCAGCUACAGGAGCAAUGUUGGGUUAAGUGUCUUGCCCAAGGACACAACGACAUGCAGGUUAGCCGGGCCUGGGAUCGAACCGACAGUACAUUUUGAUAUUGAAGAUAUUCUAUAUUCUGAGGUGUUUCUAAUAUUCUGACUACCACAGGUAUGUGUCACGGUGUGGGUUUAUUUCCUAUCUUAUUUUGUAGUUUUCUGCUUCUUGUCUCCCUGGGUAACUUUACUUCCUGCCUUUUCCUGUCAUUGUCUGUGAUUGUCGGAUUUUUUCCACCUGUGUCCAAUCAACUGCACCUCCCUAGUGUAUUUAAGCAGUGUGUCAGUGUGUAUUCGCCACAGUGAUCUCCCGUUCCCGCUGGGCCGCUGCAGCGCUUUCCCGCUGGGCCGCCCCAGCAAUUUCCCGCUCGGCCGCCGCAGCAAUCUCCCGUUCCCGUUGGGCCGCAGCAGUGAUCUCCCGCUCCCCGACUAGCUCCUCCGACCCCGGUACCGGCCCCGAGACUUUCAGCCCCGACCCCGCCAGUACCGGCCCCUAGACUCGCAGCCCCGCCCCCGCCAGUACCGGCCCCGAGACUCCUGACUCCGACGCCUCCAGUCCCCACUCCCCGACUCAGGUUCCCUCCCAUCCCGCCGACUGCGGAGGUGUUCCGUGUCCCUGAGCCGCCGCCGACUGCGGAGGUGUUCCGUGUCCCUGAGCCGCCGCCGACUGCGGAGGUGUUCCGUGUCCCCGAGCUGCCGCCGACUGCUGCGGAGGUGUUCCGUGUUCCCGAGCCGCCGCCGACUACUGCCGAGGUUUCCCAUGUCCCCGAGCCGCCGCCGACUACUGCCGAGGUUUCCCGUGUCCCCGAGCUGCCGCCGACUACUGCCGAGGUUUCCCGUGUCCCCGAGCUGCCGCCGACUACUGCGGAGGUUUCCCGUGUCCCCGAGCUGCCGCCGACUACUGCGGAGGUGUUCCGUGUUCCCGAGCCGCCGCCGACUAUUGCCGAGGUGUUCUGUGUCCCCGAGCCGACAACUUCCCCGGAGGUGUUCCGUGUCCUCGAGCCGCCGACGGCCCCGGAGGUUUCCCGUGUCCCCGAACCAGCCAUUCCAGAGACGUUCCGUGCCCUGCAGUCGCCGCUCCGGAGCCCGCCAGCUUACCGUCCUUCGGGCCGACCCCCGUAGGCUCCCCGGUCGUCUGGCCGCCCGGGGCGGUCCGACCAACGUCUCUGGUUUCCCUCCCUCCGGCCCAUUGUCUGCUCUCUGCCAGUUUAGAGCCGUCUGGAAUUCUGUCACGGUGUGGAUUUAUUUCCUUUCUUAUUUUGUAGUUUUCCGCUUCUUGUCUCCCUGGCUAACUUCACUUCCUGCCUUUGCCUGUGAUUGUCUGAUUGUUUCCACCUGUGUCCAAUCACCUGCACCUCCCUAGUGUAUUUAAGCAGUGUGUCUCUUGUGUCACUUGUCGCGUCAUUGUCAAUCGUCCUGGAUGGCUCUCGUUCCUGCCUGCCUUUUUUUCCCCCUGGUACCUGUAUGUGUUUUUGCUCCAUGGCCUUUUGUUUGUUGGAGUUUAUGACUAUUGUCUUUUGUGUGCGAACUCUGCAUUUGAGUCCUGCCUUCCACCCACCCUGACAGUAUGCACAUAUGGACUAAAGAAUCUUUCAGUACAAUACAGAACCCUUUUUAACUGUGACCUCAAUAAAAUACAAACAUGAUUCUACAUAUUUCCUACAAAACAAUGUACCUAAUAAAUCGAAAAUUAAGUGUACACAAAAUGGAUCAUUUAGUAAUGACUACAUAAUUACUACUGCUGUAGUUUAACAAACCAAAACAUUACAUAGUUUAAAGUGUAUAUUUCAAAUGUAAUCUAUUACACACACAAAAAUAAAGUUUAACACCGGAUGAAUGUCUUUUAUCAGAAUCUUUUACUGUAUUUUAACUGCUGUUAAAAGGGGAAUAUUGCCGUUAAAAAGCACCUUAUUUGUUUAAGAUGUUUGCAAACUAAACGUAAUUUCACUUUUUUUAUAUAGCAGUACUUUUAAAAUAAAAGUGCGCAAUACACUUACGCAUUACAAUGUGAUGAAUCCCAAUUAAAUGUUAUUGUUGCCCAGCACUUUCACCUGAUUAUCAGACUGAAGAUUAUAAUUCUAUUCUACAGGAACACCUGGGUGUUCCUGUAGAAUAGAAUUUGCCGUUGGCAGAUUGGCCUCUAGAUACAAUUGUAAUUGGCAGUAAAAUGUUCCUCCUGAGCUACCGUAGGGCUGGGUAGACCCACCCUUCUUACUUCCUGGUAUUCCAUUAGUCUCAACCAUAAAAGCCACAGUAGGCUGCAGUAGGUCUGAACUGUAGCUUGCAAGGCGAGUCAUAGUUUGUGUUUCAUUUCAUUUGCUUGAGGUACAGCCCAGAGUUUUCCACUCCCCCAUUGAGCUGUCUGGAGGGUUCAGCAGUGAGCAGCCCAGAGAGGAGUUGCGUGCAACUGCUGUUUUGUUUACAUUACUCAGUUAAUUGUAUCCACUGAGAGAUGUCAUUCAGACAGAGAUCCGUGCCGCCGCCUGAGUGAGGUAGGGAGAGAAGUAGUUGGGUGUCAUCGGCAUAGCUGUGGUAGGAGAAGCCAUGCGAGCAUAUGACAGAGCCGAGAGAGUUGGUGUAGAGAGAGAAGAGGAGGAGGCCCAGGACGGAACCCUGAGGAGCUCCAGUAGUAACAGGACAAGGUUCCGAAAGAGAUCCUCUCCAGGUUACCCGGUGCGGUGCGGCCGUCAAGUUAGGAGAGGGGAAAGAGCGGAGCCUUAGAGACUAAGUUCCUGAAGGAAGGAGAUAAGGAUCCGGUGGUUUUAUCACGACAGCCACACACACCGACCUUCAGACAUUCACAAGUACAAACGACACUCAAUGAUGCGACCAGGGACAAGAGACACACAUGGCUUAAAUACACUGGGAAGGUGCAGGUGAUUGGACACUGGUGGAAACAAUCUGGGGCACGGCAGACAAUCACAGGGAAUGACAGGACAAGGCAGGAAGGGAAGUAACCCAGGGACACAAGAGGCAGAAAACUACAAAAUAAAGCAGGAAACAAACCCAAACCGUGACAGGUUUACUGUGUCAAAUGCAGCAGAAAGGUCAAGAAGGAUGAGGACAGAGGAGAGAGAGGCGGCAACAGCAGUGUGGAGUCUUACACUGAUGACGGAAGGUACCAUACACAGGCCCACCUGCCUGUCAGUAACUAACAUUCACACACUGUAGUUACAUCUACAGGAAUAAUGUUGGGGUUAAGUCUCUUAGCGAAGGACGACCGUGCUCCCCACUCACAGUUGCGACAACUUCCCCGGAGGUGUUCCGUGUCCUCGAGCCGCCGACGGCCCCGGAGGUUUCCCGUGUCCCCGAACCAGCCAUUCCAGAGACGUUCCGUGCCCUGCAGUCGCCGCUCCGGAGCCCGCCAGCUUACCGUCCUUCGGGCCGACCCCCGUAGGCUCCCCGGUCGUCUGGCAGUAACUAACAUUCACACACUGUAGUUACAUCUACAGGAAUAAUGUUGGGGUUAAGUCUCUUAGCGAAGGACGACCGUGCUCCCCACUCACAGCCCAGUCGUUACUGUUCUUUAUUCAACAGAGCAUAUGGGAAAGUUUUCUUGGACACAGCAGGUAGACACAGAUCUGAUGUAACGUUGCAUACUUCACAACCAAAUCAUAAUGACUGUUAUGGUUCUCUGAUAUACAUUGUGGUAUAAUUUUCAGUUGGAAACCAAAAACAUUAUCUACACAUGUUCUGUCCCUCUUUAAAAGUUUGUGUCUAUUUACUGCUGACAUCUGAUAAGUUUUUUGAUUCACAUAUCUGAGAAAGAAUUGCAGCCUCUAGAUCAUUCAAGGUCAAGAUGACUUUUCCUGUCACCUCCUUAACGUGGCGUGAAACCAGUAAUGCAUUCGGUUUAAUGGAGUGACACAAGGUAUCGCUGUGGUCUUGGCCAGACGCGUUUGAUCGUGACUAUUGAGCCAGAAAGUUGGUGCUCAGCGGCAUAAGGCCCAUCAGGAGCCCUGCUCCAUUCCAAUGUGGAGCCUGACAGCCAGCAUUUCAAUGAUGAGGACCUAAUGAGGCCUGGCGUGGAGUGACCCCGGUCCAGACCUGCUGACAGCUUCCAACAACCCCCCCCACACUGGCCCCCACUAUCCCGUUUGAGCCAUCAGGCGGCUCCUUCAUCAAGGAGGCCCAUGCAUCCCUCCACAUUUGGCCAAAGUUUGACUAUUAUGAUGGAAGGCCAUUGCUUGUGUCAGAUGGGCUUAAUGACUCAACCCAUCUGAUCAAAUACAGGAGGCGCUGGUAUGCUAGGAAUGGGACUGUGUGUGUGUGUGUGUGUGUGUGUGUCGGGGGGAUUGGUAUUCUCUUUUUAUUUGAACUACCCCAAAAAAACAAUUUAAUUGUGUCCCCCCAAUUUGGAAUACAAAUCACCCAAACCCAACUUAAAUCCACAAAAUACAGGAAAGCGAGAGUUGGCAACAGGCAAUGGGGCGUAUGAGUCAGUGCUGGAACCUGGGCUUUGCUAAAGGAAGGAAGACGAAUCUUUUUCUGUGCUCCAUAACAUCUGUUGAUAUGUACAAAGUCGGCGGAUAUCAAGCGCAGUCAGCCCGUGAGAGCAAGGAUGGGUGGGGGGGAUUGUGACAUGUUUCAGGCAAGUGAUAAUGAAUGUAAGCACGGCUGCGAUGAAGACGGCACAGCAUGUGAAAACCUCUGCAGAGAGAGGGUAAUUUAAUCCAUUUGGGGGCGGGGGGCUUCAAACGCCUCUCACCCCGCCACUUAUCGGCCUCAUCACGAGAGACGUAGAAAACAAACACAGGAUGAGUUGUGUCAAAGAGACGGCAACAGAGAGGGGAGGGGGCGGGGGGACCUCCUGUUGAGAACAUGAAGGAGGACAUUUUUGCUCCAAGGAAGGUGAAGGACACCUUGGGGUGCUUUCCACUUAAUGAAACAAGUGAGGAAACUUUUUUUUUCACUUUCCUGAUUAGGAAGGAGUGUUUUUGGGCUGCGUGAGCCAGCUGGGAGCUGAUUGAAUUUGUCUUGGUUCAAAAACACAAUUACUUGAGGGAGAAAGAUAAAGAUACCUUCAAUUAGCUCUCAGCUUCUCGCCGAUAAAUAUCACAUGGUGAAUUUUGUUUCUCAUUAAUAAAUUAAUUUUCUGAUAUAUUUGUUUAUUUCCUGUCUACUCUGUGUAUUAAGUGCCAGAGGGCUUUGCACCCUCUCUUUGUUGUGGUUAUUAUAUAGAUAACUAGUGUGACAUCAGUCAGUAUAGAAGUUAGACAGAAAGAGUCCCCUCACUGACCUGAGGCCUUUGUUGGCCCUCAUUAGUCAGAACCACACAUGACAUUUGUGCACGAGGGAGUCUGUUAACUUUGAUGGAACUUCAGCCCCGUCCAUCUCUCACAGCAGCUCAUCUUGAAAUACGACACAUCACGUCACUAAACGUCGUUGAAAGAUGUUGGAAUUUGUACUCAGUAGUGCCCUCCCAGAUUUUAAGGUCAUGAGGUGAGCCUGGGAAACAAGCUGAACGCUUUGCAUUUGAUUAAAUAUUCACUCUAUUUCAGGUCUAAGUUUAUUAAGAACUGUAAUUGAAUACGGCUGAUACUUCAAUUAUGUUUCCUCUGGAGUGCUUAAUUUGUCAGUCAAUCCAAUUUAGAAAAUAUCAAAAGCUGAAUUGUCCUAUUUAGAUUGUAAAUUAAUUAAUCGCAUCAUGACGAGUUGAUAACCACUGAUACAAAUAUGUGCGAUGCAUCAAUGGGACAAAAGUGAAUAGAAAGAAUGCAACACUAAGAAUUGGACAAUAUGUGUUUUUCUUCUUAGCUCUCCACGCCAUGUGUUAACAGAGUCAGUCAUCACAGGCCAGACAUGUGCUCUCUGAGGGGCACCGCUGGGAUGUCAUUUCUCAUGGCCCCUUGGAAAGCACAAUAUACAAACUCUGUUGUAAGGCUGGACCACCUAGAGGGAGAUAGAGACGGCAGUCAAGGCUCACAAAGUGCUCCAUUCAGAGAAAAAGCUUAUGCAAAAUAAACACCUACAACCUGAUAAGGGACGUCAUAUCGGCAGCAGACAACAGGAGCUGUGUUUGCUCAGGAUAUGAAAGAGACAUGCGUGAACAUGAAUGUUUGUUUUGGUCUUCACAAUGUGCUCUUAUCUCGUGUAACAUUAGAUUAACAAAAACAACUUUUAUCCAGUUUAAGUUAAUUUAUGUAUUUAUGAAUUUUUUUUUCUAACACUCUCGUAUUCUAUCUCACCUGCAGGCUAUGACAGGAGAGCAAUGUUUAGACUGUGGUGCUGAGAUGCAUAGCAACAACCUUUGCUAGCUCAACUUGAUCUGUGGGAUUACGGAUCCUGACAGAAGUUGCAGACUGCAGCAGGUAGGACGGAUAAAAGGAACUAGAGCUGUUGCAUGCUUUAUCUUAGACGUACGUCUCCUUUUGACAUCUGGCCUCUGAUUUUGAUUCCCGCCUGCACAGAAGAAGUAUGAGUGGAGGGAUAGCCUGGGCUGAUCUGGAUGUGAUUACAAAACAGCACCAACGCCAUCCACAAGACGCAAUAAAUAAAGAUCAUUUUUCUCUCAGAAAUGACAUGCAAAUCUUAAUGGAUUGCUGCUAUCUCCUCCCCCUUGAGUUGUGUGCCACAGCUUGUGUGUUUUCGACGAGGCCAAUUAUAUUCACAACCGCACAGCAACACCAAAUGUGCGCGUGACAUUGCCAAACACAAGAAAAUAAUCAUAACUGCUAGUGUUAAUACUUGCUCAGAGGGGCAUGUUUUAUUCAUGGGACAUCUGCGCCACUUUGAAUGUGCAUGACGUAUCGCAAACAGAAUAAUUCAUUCAAUUAGGCUGUAUUUGCUCCGUUAAAUCCUCUUUUCUAUUUUGCAGAAACCUGAAACCUUAGACCUGUAACAAAGCAUCAAUAAUCUCUCAAUGCUGCAUAUCACCACAACUGCCAAUCAAAGGAAAGUCUGGGGCCUGUUUGCUUUCCUGAUUUGAAAUAUUAAUACUGGUUAGCCUUGUGAGAUGCAAAAUCGUGGACUGGGACACAUACUGGCACCAGCAGCAAGGCCGCGGCUUGACAAGGCAAACAAGAAGUUCUUAAAUAAAUUAUGAGUUUUAAGGUUCGGAGAGGCUGACAUGACAUGAAAUAAACAGUGUACAAUGAGCGCAGCCCUGACCCAAGUAUUUCAAUGCAACCGCAUCAGAAUCAUUGGAGAAAAGAAACCCUAUUGACGUGACCUUUCACAGUCAAGAACACUAAGGGGACACGCAUAUUGUACUGCACAUAAAUGUGGCACUGUAUCAGAAGUCUUCGAGACUGGAAGCAUGAGACAAAACAACGACCCAGAGCCCCUCUUCUUCACACUCAUUCUCUCCUCCUGGAGGAAAGGUUUCAGAAGCACAUUCAUUCAUACAUUCAUACAAUACAUGUAUCGUAUUUUCUGCACUAUAAGGCACACAUAAAAGCCUUUAAUUUUCUCAAAAAACGACAGUGCACCUUAUAAUCCAGAGCGCCUUAUAUAUGGAUCAAUUGGUUAAUCGGUUGCAUACUCCAAUCCAUACUGGUUGUACACGGCGCUCAAGGCGCUCUGCCAAACAUGCCAAAGCUCGGUCUACGACGGCGAGAUGCUGAGCGGCGCUCAAGCGCGUGAGAUAUGGAGCUUGUUUCAGGGCGCGUCGGAGAAACAAAGCUGUCGUUCUUGCCGAGCACUUCAUGAGAUUAAAGAGCGAGAGACGGUGCCCUUUUCUCUACAGUAGCUGAACCAUCUUAACGGGGAAAAUAAGUUAUUCUAAAGGCUGGCGCAUGCGUCUGCGUUGUUGCGUCGACGCACUCGUUUCAAUUCAUGAUUCUAAAAGUCUUGCGUGUGUUGCAGAGCAAUUCACCUCCAGAACAACAGGCGGAGUAACGUGUUUUGUUGAAGACGACCUAGAGAGUCACGUCUAUUUAUUUAUUUGUUUAUUUAUUUAUCCUAGACUUUAUUGCCCUGUGCAUCGCCACUGCUGCUUUUCAUCGCGGACACAUCUGUCCCGUAUUUUCCUCCACAACUUUGUUCGCCUCGACCGGCAAACCGGCGUUUGCAGAGAUCUCCCUCCAUGAAUCGGAGGCCAUCUGCGCGUCCUCAUAGUCCGCCAAUGACGGGUUGUAUAAGCGGUCAUAUUUACGCAUUUCUUCCGACAAAAGUUCUUCAAUCUGAUCCGUUCCUUUCGUAAACAUUCUUCGUUUUAAUAAUGGCGGUAUUGUGCUAUGAACCUCGUAGCAUCGAUCGGACCCUGAAAGCACAGUCUCCACCUCCCCACACCCGCCCCAUCCACCCGCCCCGACGUCAAACGUCUCAAACUGCAGUAUCUUAUGCGUCUUAUUAUCCGGUGCGCCCUAUAUAUGAAAAAUGUUCUAAAAUAGGUAAUUCAUUGAAGGUGCGCCUUAUAAUCCAGUGCGCCUUAUAGUGCGGAAAAUACGGUAAUGCUAUCGUAUGAGCCAAUGGAUGUACUGGUCCCUCAAAUUUGAUGGUGGUGGUGGAAUGGGAGAAUGCAGCAUGGAUAUCGGGAGCUGGCACAGCGAGGGCCUUCACUCAGCUCCUGCUUUUGCUUCCAGGGAUUUUGUCCAGAUGAGAGCUGAACAGGCCUGAGGAGCUACUGGAGCCCUCCACAUCUCAGUUCCCCAGUGUGUGAGUGCAUGCUGGCAGACUGUUGACCUCAGUACUUUUUCCAGCUCUGAACUAAAUGUUAAGUGCUGAAGAGUCAGGGGAAAGUUGAAGAAGUGGGCUUCUGCUUCAGUUUGACAAACAUGGGCGGGUGAAAGCCUAUCCAGUCAGUAUUACAUUAAAAUGAGCCAUCCGAAAAAUUGGUGUUCACAUCCAAACACCUCAACAAUAUAAUGCAAUAUGUUUUAAAACAGGACAACUCUCAUCCCUAGAUUUAUAUCCAGCCUGAUCUCCAAAACCUGUUCGAAAAAAUGUAUAUGAAAAUCUUGAAGAUACAAAUUCGUAGUGAUACAUACUAAAUAAAUACAGACUGGCAACUGAUGACGUCACCCUAUUCAAAGUGAAUGGGGACCUGCACCCCGUAAACACACUUUGUGAAGACUAACGAUGUAAAAUAAACGUGUUAUGAUUGCAUUUUUAACGAGAAAUCAAUGUUAAAUUGUAAGAAUACAAUAAUAACCCUAACCCCCUCAAAAAAUCCAACAUGGCGGAGAGACGUUCACUCAAGAAUCCUACAUGGUCCGCCAUGUUGUUCACUCAAGGGGCGUGGUUAACCACCGCCAGUACGUAUGUAUUGUUACGAAUUACUAUGUCAAAUAUUUCGUAUACAUUUUUCCGAACAGGUUUUGGAGAUGACGUUAUAUCAGGUUUCCUAGUGUAGACUUGUAAGAAUAAAGGUACACAGGACCGACAGUUUCACCAAUUUUAUUAGUCCCAAAGACCCAAACACCAUGAAAUGUUUAGGGGGGUUACGGUGAUUUGUGGAUGAAAAUGUGAUGCGAUAUAUGUUCUUCGCAGAAAAUGAGUGAAGGCCGAUGAGUCUGAGUUUGAGUUGUUUUUUAUAAAUGAAAACGGGUCCCACAGACCUGAACACCAUACAAGGGUUAAACAAACAAUAUAUUUAUGAGUUUUAACUGUUCAUUUUUUAAACGGAUUAAUGCAUUUAUUUAAUGGUAAACCAAUCCCUUGUAUACGCAGAUGGAAACCUUAAUCAAACAACAAUACUUACACAUUCCGCUUAGACAAAAACAGGAGCAUUGCUGAUAUUUUGCUGAAUAUGUUUUUAAAGAGAGGCAUCUAGAUAGAUCCCCAUAGUAAUCAUUUCUAAAGACAUUGGCCUCUUUUUGAAUACAAACAGUGACAACUAAAUGCAAUUUCAGUAUAAAACAAUGCCCCUAAUGCAAAGUUCUGGCAGCCACUGUUUUUUUUCAAAAUUCAAGCAAACAUGCAAUGAUUACAUAAGAAUUAUUAUUUUCACAGAACUAAAGACGAUAAUGAAAAGCAGCAACGUGACUGAGAAACACUUUAAACGAGAUAUUCUGAUAUUUUGAAACCCCAACUAUAGGUUUUUAUGGUGGAAAGGCGAUGUUUCCAUUUAAACAGCUGCAAAGGGUCAAUUACAUUUCGUAUGGAGCUAUUUUGACACUUUAUAAACAAAGUGUCACAAUCGACGGACACUGUAAGCUCUUUCUUUUUUAACAAUGCAAUGCCAAAUUGGGUAAAAACCCCCAAAUCAAUGGAGAAGGAAAGUGUUAUUGUAAUAUUUCAACUCAAUUGUUAAGGAUUAUUCUUCCUUCAUUGCACCGUAGCUGUAUCAUAAACUAAACUUCCCCCUAAGCCACAGAAAUUGGCUCUUUGUUGACUGUUUUUUGUCAUUAAACUCCCUUCACCCCGUACAUCGUUUCCACCUAAAAAGAAGAGAAUAUCAGGGAGAGAGAAAAGAGAAAAAGAAAAUCAAUUACGCCAUGCACUUCUGAGGGCAUGUCAGAGGCUUUUCAGCAUUUGGAACCUAAUUAAAUUAACCUCAAAAGGAGAGGGACUGGAAGCGCGGCCGGGGCGCUCGGUGCGCGGCCGAUGAUUAGCGCAUCGAUUUAUUAAAAUGGGCUGGCAAGCCAGACAAGAUGAGACCUCAUUCCCGCCGGGGUCUUGUUUACUCUAGUGCGAGCCAGUUAGAACUGUUAUGCUCUGCGCUCCUCUAUUUGGCAUGGAGGAGUUAAUUAGUGGUGAUUGAGCAAGGAUCUCGGAAAUACAGUUUGAGCUGCAUAUAACAGGCUGUGCUCUGUGCACAGUUGUGUGGCGAUAACUCGGUUAGCUCCUGGGGGUUGCAAAUUGCAAAUUGACAGCAAAUUGAAACCCAGGACAUGUUCUAUGUAGUUUGUUCUAUGUAACUAUGUUGGAUAUGGAAGUAUCAUCAUUGUCUUAAUAUUCAACUUAAAAUCACUGACUUCAAUAGGCAUUCAGUGGUUUUAUUCAUCUGUUAACUUCUCCUGCUGAAGAAAGUCCUCAACAGUUAUUGACUCGCCCCAAAGAGUGCAAUACAGGCAACAGAAAAAAUCAACUCAAAAACUGGAAAUCGUCAUUAUUUUCAAGUUGUGCAAAGUUUGUUUAGCUUGUCUCACGUUAAGCCGUUUAUCUGCUGCGCGAGGAAUGUCGAGCCCAUGGGUCAGUCCGUUUGUGUUGGUAGAAGAAAUACUCUGCAGAGCAAUCCAAACAUUGUACGAGUACAACCAAAGUGCCAAAGAGAACGGAGGGGGGAAUCCCAGGCCUGAGUGUACAUGUAAUCUUAAAACAACAUCGCCGUAGAUACUCCUGUUUAGAUAUAUUCUUUAGCUCGCUGUUAUCGCUCACAAUUCCGAUAUUGUUUGGAUUCCCACAUUGCUGCUCAUAUUUCCAUUGGAAUGGACUGGCAGCUCGCCUGAUGGAGAGCCUUCUCUGGGGAGUCUGCAAACGCAUCCGUUUUCAAUGUGUCUGAUCCUGCUUCUCUGUGCCGAGCUGACUGUAAUUGGCAGGCUCUCCUCGUCAUUGAGAUAUUACAUUUCCCCUCUCGGCUAUUCCACAUACUCCUGGGAGCAGUUCACACUGCGAGCGCGUCCCGCGAGUCCUCUGCAGCAGACACAGGACUGGCGAUAGAGUUGUCCUCAUGGUAACAGAAAUCGUUCUCUGCCUCUGACUCUACAUUACAGGCCAUCAGAGUUUUUUAGCGUAUGAUGAGGCGAGUGUGGAGCCAAGAUUCAUCAUUUUGAGAAGCCCCGGUUGAGGGUGGAUAUGUUACAUUUUGAAAAAGAGAGGGAAACAACUACUCGCUAAUGCGUUUGCAAAACAACCUAAUGCAUUCGCUCUUCAAAGACACAGCCACAAAAAUAAAAAGGUUUAUUUUUCCACAAGAAGCAUUUACCUUUUAACUUUCUUUUUUUUGGUUACGUGGCGGCACAAGGAAGAUUUAUUCCCCUCUAAAGUCACCAUCAAUUAGAAAAUAAACACAUGGUUCAACGGCGCCCGGUGUCACUAAGUAAACACAGACCUGCCUGCAAUUAAAGGCCCAGUUUUCCUCCGGAGGCGCUGACGUCUUGGUCAUGCAGGACAGCAGGAGUGGCAGGAGGCCGCGGCCAAGUUCUUACAUAUGUUCCUCAGGAAUAAUUGCAGGCACCGCUCCGGAUGAUUCACGACUCCGUAAUCACACAAUUUCCAUAUUGUUGACUCAUACUUGCAGGCCAAUAUGACUGCCAGUGGUACAAACUGCUAAUUGAACCGUCAAUGCAGUUGCAAUUAUCUAGUGCGCAACAACGUGUGAGAAAGCUGUCUGUGAUCUGUUUUUCCACCAGUUUGGGGCUCCAGACGGAGACCUGACGCUCGCCAUACUUCCUGCUCUCUGUGGGAAUUCGUCUUGCUACAACUGUUGCAAUCAGUAAAGAAAACAAAACAUGGGUUUCCCAUCUUUAUGCAGGUGAUGCACAAACCUGCGCUGGUCUCCGAGCCUCGCUGUGUGCUGAAAGAAAUCUAGACAUUGUUAGCGCCAGCAUUUCCCACCACUUUUCUUCAUUUGCUUAGCAUAUAGGUAAAAUUGCAAUCAUUUAUUUCCUUUCGCAGUGAACAAACUCUAGAAAUGUGUGUAUUUAUCAUGAUCCUGCAUCAGCCUCACAGCUCAAAGUGCAAUCCGACCGAGCUGCAACCUGAGAAACGAACGACCAACUGCGAGGCCAUGGGGUCCAGGUGAGCUCCUGUCAUUAUCCAUAACUAACUGCAGUCUAGACAACAUUGUGUAUGAAAGGGAAAAGACAAUUAAUGGAGGACGUUGGAGCUGUCUGUCUGACGUUUGUCAGCUGUCUGUCUGACGUUUGUCAGACAGACAGCUGGGGCAUGGAUCGGAGGAAAAGAGGAUGCAACUUGAUAUCUUGUAGGAAAGAUCCUCCCCCAAGGACCUCUCGUUUGGAAAGCAGGUCAGACAGACGCAUUUACAGUAAAAGAUUCCCGCUGUAAUAAUUUUGUCGUAUUAGACUACCAGCUGGCAUCUUAAAGAUACAGUUAAUUAUAAACAGUAAAAGAAUUAGCAUUGCACACAAGUAUAGUAACACUGUUUUAAACGAAGGCCAGUUAGAAACUGCACGUUUUUCUCAACGCAUUAUUCUUCUUUGUCUGAAACUGUAACUUAUAUAGCUUCGAUCACAUCUUUAAAAAGCUUGUUACUCAAUUUCUGUGGGUUUUUGUGACCUCUCCAACUUUCCACUGUCGGUUUUUGCUAAUUCAUGGUUCAUAAUUUUGUGGGAUAUCCAGAAAUUACAAUUUUGUAAGCAUGAAAUUCUGGACUGAAUUUUGUUCUAAUUCAUCCUGUAGAUUUGUAGUAGUUGAGAUAUUCUGUCUGGAAGUGAAGUAGUAUAGUGACAAUCCACAAUGCACGUUUGCUGUUGUCAUAAUUCAUAGGCAGCCUUGCAUUGACAUACCAUAAUGCAAUGCAGCUGUGUAGAUUCUUUUGUGGAAGCUAUUUACACCUGCACCUAAAUCGCCUCAACCGAACAUAUUAAUGUACUGUCAAAAACCCUUCAAGAAUUCAUAAACUGAAGCAGACAGAUCAAUUGAUCACAACAAUGCUCAUGAGGCUUCAACACAAAUAAUCUUUUGUUGUGUCUCAUAAAGCCAAUUCAGGUUAAUCCUUAGGUCUAUUAAGUAAACGGUCAUAGUUAUAAAGAAUCAUGUGUUUUUAAUGAUGUGUUUAUUAUAUAGUGCCAAACAUAAUGAAAUCAUGGCAUCUACCCUGACAAGCAAAGCAUACAGUCACCAUACACUCACAUCCAGGUGCAUGCCAAACUUUGUCAAUCGGGGAAAAGUUUACAUCACCUGCAAUGACGCAGAGUAAAAGAGCAAAAAAGGGUAGAUGGAGCGUAAUAGAUAAAUUUAUCUGCCAAAUCUCUGCCAUCUCGACUCAGGUCUUUAGACUGGAUUGAAAAAACAAACACACAUACGCCAGUCCUUGUUUCAUUCCGUCCACCUCACCGACUUCCAUGUCAGCACUGAAUGAGAAAAUAACAAAUUAACCAAAAGGCUCCGACAACAAUCUACGUGGAUUGUUUUUUUUUUCAUCCCUCCACAAUUAACACACAGUUUUCAGUUUGGUAUCACUAUGGGUUACUGUUGACUUUCGAUGGUGCACACUAUGUCACAUGUUAUAGUUGACAAUUUUCCAUGAACUUUCAUCUCGUAAAUACAAGAAUUUGUAAGCUAACGUUCAAAGUGUGUUGCUGGGACCAGUGAAGCUAAAGCACCAGUGCCUCCAACUUGCAUUCUCUCUAAUGGCCAUCAGGGGGCAACACCUCUAAUGGGAAAAAAAGACGCCUGAUUGUCGAUGUCGAUGAGAAAAUUACUCUACUUCUCACUUCUUUACCUCAGUAAAAAUUGUCCUCCGGAAACAUCCCUAGUUUCAAGUAUUCUGUCAAUACACUAUGAUGGUGAUUCAGUAAAAAAUGUUCUCAUUUAGAAUUAAAUGGAUAAAGCAGUGGUUACGCUGUGAUUGACAGGUCUCGGGUUAGUACUGGUCACAGAGUGGUCUGUGUUUUUGUCUUAGAAUCUUUCUCAGGACGUGACUCUUUGAAAGUGUGAUUCCUGUCUCGCCUUAAGAGGAGAGGCAGUGACGAGUUCCAUGUGACAAUCUAAUGGAUGGAACCACAGUGGUGUGAGCUUCUGCUGAAAAGAAUACGUUGCACAGAUUUUCCCGGUGUAUGAUUACAGUCAAAAAACACCUGAGUUACCCUGAAUCACUCACUCUUGUCGGAAAGAGGUUAAGACCGCAGAAUCUCGACUAAACUUUCUCUCUGGUUUGGCUUCGUCGAGUGAUAGGAUUGAGGAUUCAGCCCCUCCAGCUUUUCUCUGUCAGGCCUCUUCAACCCAACGCUUCCCGUGCCAACCCUAGUCAAGGAGACCCACGUUCUCACUGCUCCCGUGAGGUCCGUCUCUCCCGGUCCUCACUCCGGGCCUAAGCAGCUCAACCAGAAAGAAAGCUCCUUCAAACCCUUUUGAUCCGGCUUGCGUGUGAGAGGGCACGAAAAACGGUUACGUACCGAAGAAGCAAAAUACUUUCCAAGAUCCCCAAUCAAUCCCCGUAACAAAGCUCUGAGCGGAUGUGUAAACGUGACUCGAGGAAACACAGCAAACCCUGUCAACCCUGUGCUGAGCAGAAGUUGGAUUAGUUGGAUGUGUUAUUUUUGUCUUGAGGUUUACAGUAUUGUGUAACAAGCCAUUAUGCAUGUUUUGUGAACUGCCAAGUUCUGCCACAUGCUGAGUGUGAUAUAACGUGCAAUUGGCAUGUGUCCAGGCCCUAGAUCCCGGUAAACACUGCGUAUUAACUACGGUGUUUGCUGCCUUAUAUUCUGUUGGUUUGCUAGAUCAAUCCCCUCAAAUUAGACCGAUAUUUGGAACUUCGGAGGGCAGGAAUCCAGUUUCCAAUUUGCUUAGCUGUGGAAUGAUGUUUACUCAUGUCUCACUGUGAAACGGAAACCUGCUUUGCUCUCAGUCUCUUUCCUUCUUCCUUUUGUUUUAUCAUAUACUAACCAAUGCAAAGGUCCCUCCAGAUUUCCAAGCUCAAAGUGGGUGGUUUCAGCAGUUGCCAUUUUGGCAAAAAGAGACAGCCUAACUAGCAGCUAAUCCCAAAAUGAGCAAUGAGUCGGUUUGCAAUGGGAGCUCAUUAAAAUGUUGUGUAAUAUUUGCUAAAUAGGUGAUUUUAAAGAAAUAUGAACUCAAUGUCACAGAUGGAAAAACAUUUCAUUACUUUGUGCUACAUUUACUUUAAUGUUUCCAUUGUUUUUUAUUACUCAUUAGUGGAGUUUGGGAAAUUAGUUUGGCCAUUUGGCCGCAAGCAUAAUCUAAGGCUGUUAUAAAAUCAAUUUAAUGAACUAUUUUUUUUUGCAAAUCGUCUUUUUAAAACCAAUUGCAGUGUCACACUUAAGAAAGAUCAUAACACACCAAAUGUAACACAAAGUGUCAUUUUACUUUGUUGACAGAUGUUUCACACAUUAAGAGUCUGUGGGAGGAUUUGGUUUCAGCUGGGCAGCUGAGAUUCAUUCAAAAUCUCAAUUCAGAAAUACUGAAACACAUGUGGUUUCGGUGUUUGAGAGCACAAAAUUCCUAUUAAGUCACAAUGUGGAGUUGGGAUUUGUCUUAAUUUUCAUUUUUCUCUUAGCUAUAUGCGGCAAAUAACAACCAUGCGCAGCAACAGUCACAGAGCCAGGUGCACCCUGGUCCUCAAAUCUCUUACAGCGUCUGGUGGAGAAAUAUACAUUUUAAUAAGUCCCUUUAGGAGCGAUGAAGGGCGAGACCCUGGGAAAGCUCGUUGAAGUGUCCUGUGCAAUACAUUGGAUUCCUUUGUAAAUGUUUUAUAAUGACAAACAUGCAGUGUCGGCUUUACCACGCUGCAGACGGAAAAUCCUCCUUGCAUUGUUAAAGUCAGGUGUAGUACAGUAUGCCAGUAAAACCUCAACCUGCAGCAGAUGCAAAAUUACCUCAGUGAACAUUACGAGUAAAAAACUUGUGCAUUUGUGCAUUAACUAAACCAAAAGGCCCAAUUUAUUGUGGACUUGCACUGCAGUUCUUUGCACUUCAAAUUUGAUGCCCAUUUUUUGGAUGUACUAUUCAGUACCAUUUCCCCUCACAUGCUUGCUUAGCUUAAGCUUCUCAAUUAUUCAGGCUGCGAUCAAUACUCAACACACGCCUGUUAGGAAAAGCAGGAAGCAGAGACGGAUUUAAGCCCCAAUCUGGAUUAUGGAUUUGUAUCAAUUUAUGUGUGUCUGCUCAACCAAGAAAUUGGUGGAAAACACUGCGAAACCCAGCUAAGUGGAUGAAGUGCAAGGCUCAGAAGGCUUUUUUUCAAUUUAACUCCUUGUUCCUCAGUAGUUUUUUUAUUUAAUUUUUUGGUUUCGCGCAAUUAUCACACCGCCAGGCUUGGUCUGUGAAAGAUGGCUUUCUCAUUAGCCUGUCCCCAGUUCCCUCUGAAACGCUUGAUGAACAGGCCCUCAAUUUCCCAACCUUACCUCCAACUUUAACAAUGAAGAUGACUGACGAGAUGGACGGGAAGUCACACAUCAGCGGCGUCCCUAACAAGAGAAAGUUUCGAGAGAUGUCCUUAUGUGAGCGGUAUAAGUUCACUUGGGAUUGAAACUUUUCAUUUAGCAGUUUUUAAGGUGGACUUGUUGCGAUUUCGUGCUAUGGCUUGGCUCCCCCUAGUGUUGCUUGUGACAAUGUCCAUCUUGAAGCUCGUUCACACCUCCGGGUGACAAAGAUGUUUUUGAUGAUCAUCCUUCUUGUGAAAUAUCAAGCUUUCCAUGGCACAUAUAAGGGUAGUAAACUGCUGCCAGCACAAGCGUCUGCAUUUAAUUCACAUUUGUCCCUGUGCAGACAAUGACAUCAGCAGUGGUCUGAUGUCAUGUGAAACUCAUUUUCACCCGGGCAGGAGAGACCGCAUGCACACUACAAACCAAGCACUACCACACUUAUCCUUCACGUUUUCACUUGAUUGUUUCAAGUCUUGAGCUUUUUUGUAACUUCUUCUCGUCAUACUCUAAAAGGCUGCAACAAUACUUGUAUACAGUAUUUCAGCCAUAUGAAUGUCCACAAAAAAAACAUUUCUGAUGUUGCCUGGCCUGAUCUUUUGGACCUGGUCUAUCUUUCACAUUGCAUUAUUCCAUUAUUGCAUCACCUUUACACCAUAUCCAACGGUCAUGUGUGCGUCGAUGUGUGUGGUGCACUGUUUGUAUCCAAUCGUGCGGUUCAUAUCUUUGGCCAGUCACGGCCAUUCUCCGCCCUCGCUGGCUGCAUGCAGCAGUGGAGCCUCGAACCGUGAUCUACUCUCAGCCAAAGCCAGAGCCAGAUUUAGAGAUGGCGGUGAGGCCUACCACUGGCCCGUGUUGUAUUUAGAUUGGCAGAUGAACGGCAGCUUCGCUCGAGCCCCGUUCACCAUUUGUGGGAAUCAUGCCUCUAACGCUCAUGUAAACACAGGCGCUGAAAGGCCUGCGGCCCUCGCUUUCUCUGCCUCUGUUUUAGACAGGCACCAAUCCAAUAAUGUGACGUUUAUGUUUGAAAUUAGAGGAGAAACUCUCUUGAUUAAGCAAAUCCGACAAUCUCAUUGUGUGUCGUCCCAAAUGCAGGAAGACGAUAUUUAGUUCUUAUUGGUUGGGUUUUAAACCAUUUCUAUAAUUGCAGCGCAUGAGUGCAGUAAUCUUUUCAGAUUGCUACAUACAGUGUGUCAUGAAAGCGGUAACCGACAGCUCUUUCUAAUGCGAAGUUUUCGUAUUUGGGAGGACAAAAACAACCCAAAUGAAGAAACAAACAAGUAUCUGGCCCUAAGAAAAACCUCUGUUUUCAAAGCAUCAUGUGUACAGAUCUUGCUUCAUAUUUUCAACAUUUCAGUUCUCCAAUCCAGACAAAAUACCAAAAGCAAGAUCCUAGCGCAAUGAUUAAAGGAAAAACCUAAAAUGAAAAAUAAUAACAGAGAGAGGGCUUAAAAUAGAGUACGUUAAAAUACACGCCAGGGAAAUCCUAUCCCCAAGAGACUGUCAGACAUGUAAUUUGAAAAAAAGGCAAGGAGUUAAAUUACAUGUAGGA